GAUGAAGAACGUAGCGAAAUGCGAUACGUAAUGUGAAUUGCAGAAUUCAGUGAAUCAUCGAGUCUUUGAACGCACAUUGCGCCCCCUGGUAUUCUGGCGGGCAUGCCUGUUCGAGCGUCAUUACGCCCCUCAAGUCCCCUGUGGACUUGGUGUUGGGGAUCGGCGAGGCUGGUUUUCCAGCACAGCCGUCCCUUAAAUUAAUUGGCGGUCUCGCCGUGGCCCUCCUCUGCGCAGUAGUAAAACACUCGCAACAGGAGCCCGGCGCGGUCCACUGCCGUAAAACCCCCCAACUUUUUAUAGUUGACCUCGAAUCAGGUAGGACUACCCGCUGAACUUAAGCAUAUCAAUAAGCGGAGGA
rnacentral:misc_RNA from 1 species